rnacentral:rRNA from 1 species
AUACGGAGGAUCCGAGCGUUAUCCGGAUUUAUUGGGUUUAAAGGGUGCGCAGGCGGGAGAUUAAGUCGGCGGUGAAAUUUUGCAGCUCAACUGUAAAAGUGCCUUCGAAACUGGUUUCCUUGAGCGUAGAUGAAGUAGGCGGAAUUUGUGGUGUAGCGGUGAAAUGCAUAGAUAUCACGAGGAACUCCGAUUGCGCAGGCAGCUUACUAAACUACUACUGACGCUCAGGCACGAAGGCGUGGGGAUCAAACAGGAUUAGAUACCCUGGUAGUCCACACAGUAAACGAUGAUUACUAGCUGUUUGCGAUACAAUGUAAGCGGCUGAGCGAAAGCGUUAAGUAAUCCACCUGGGGAGUACGUUCGCAAGAAUGAAACUCAAAGGAAUUGACGGGG